AUUGAACGCUGGCGGCAGGCCUAACACAUGCAAGUCGAACGAGUGGCGGACGGGUGAGUAAUGUCUGGGAAACUGCCCGAUGGAGGGGGAUAACUACUGGAAACGGUAGCUAAUACCGCAUACCAUCGGAUGUGCCCAGAUGGGAUGAGCUAGUCGGUGGGGUAACGGCUCACCUAGGCGACGCUCCCUAGCUGGUCGGAGAGGUUGACCAGCAACACAGGAACGGAGACGCGGUCCAGACUCCUGCGGGAGGCAGCAGUGGGGAAGAUUGCGCAAUGGGCGCAAGCCUGAAGCAGCAAUGCGGCGUGUAUGGAGAAGGCCAUGGGGUUGUAAAGUGCUUGCGGCAGGGAAGCGUUACCUGCAGAUGAAGCACCGGCUAACGCCGUGCCAGCAGCCGCGGUAAUAC
rnacentral:rRNA from 1 species